rnacentral:rRNA from 1 species
CAAUAGCGUAUAUUAAAGUUGUUGCGGUUAAAAAGCUCGUAGUUGGAUUUCUGCCGAGGACGACCGGUCCGCCCUCUGGGUGUGUAUCUGGUUUGGCCUGGGCAUCUUCUUGGAGAACGUAGCUGCACUUGACUGUGUGGUGCGGUGUCCAGGACUUUUACUUUGAGGAAAUUAGAGUGUUUCAAGCAGGCACACGCCUUGAAUACAUUAGCAUGGAAUAAUAAGAUAGGACCUCGGUUCUAUUUUGUUGGUUUCUAGAGCUGAGGUAAUGAUUAAUAGGGAUAGUUGGGGGCAUUCGUAUUUAACUGUCAGAGGUGGAAUUCUUGGAUUUGUUAAAGACGGACUACUGCGAAAGCAUUUGCCAAGGAUGUCUUCAUUGA